rnacentral:rRNA from 1 species
UAGUCCACGCCGUAAACGAUGGAUACUAGGCGUUCGGGGUGUUAACCCUCUGAGUGCCGGAGUUCACGCAUUAAGUAUCCCGCCUGGGGAGUACGGUCGCAAGGCUAAAACUCAAAGGAAUUGACGGGGGCCCGCACAAGCGGUGGAGUAUGUGGUUUAAUUUGAAGCAACGCGCAGAACCUUACCUAGGCUUGACAUCCCGGGACAGCUUAAGAAAUUAAGUUUUCACUUCGGUGACCCGGUGACAGGUGCUGCAUGGCUGUCGUCAGCUCGUGUUGUGAAAUGUUCGGUUAAGUCCGGCAACGAGCGCAACCCUUGUCUAUAGUUGCCAGCAUUGAGUUGGGGACUCUAUAGAGACUGCCAGUGUUAAACUGGAGGAAGGCGGGGAUGACGUCAAGUCCUCAUGGCCCUUACGCCUAGGGCUACACACGUACUACAAUGGCAAAGACAAAGCGACGCGAAACUGCGAAGUGAAGCUAAUCGACAAAAACAUUAGUCUCAGUCCGGAUUGAAGUCUGCAACUCGUA